AUGAAUGAGUAUGAGGUGGCAAAGAAGAUCCGUGAUAUCCUCAUGCUAAAAAGAUACUUGGUAGUUCUCGAUGAUGUGUGGGAAACAGACACAUGGGAGAAACUAAAUAGAACAAUUAAAGCCUUUCCCGAUGCAACUAAUUGUAGCAGAGUACUAUUGACCACAAGAAAAAAUGAUGUUGCGAAUCAUGUUGAAAUGCCAACCCAUAUUCAUGCUCUGAAGUGUUUAAAUGAAGAGAAAAGUUGGGAACUUUUUAGUAGCAAAGCUUUACCAUCAUACAGAAGGUCAAGCAUAGCUGACCUGUAUGAGUUUGAAAAACUAGGGAGACAGCUUACAAGGAAAUGUGAUGGAUUACCACUUGCACUAGCAGUUUUAGGAGGUUAUCUAUCAAAGAACCUCAACACUCAAGCAUGGUCCGAUGUACUACUGGGCUGGCCAUCAACCAAAGAUACACAGAUGAUGCGAGGCAUAAUAGCACUCAGUUACAAAGACCUACCAAAUCAUUAUUUAAAAUCUUGUUUGCUCUAUCUUGCUGCUUUUCCGGAGGAUUUCAACAUAUCUGUGAGGGCUCUUAUUAGUUUGUGGAUAGCAGAGAGAUUCAUUCCACAUACUCCAAGGAAUACACUAGAAGAAACGGCAAACAAUUAUGUAACUGAGUUGGCUCAAAGAAGCUUGGUGCAAGUUGUUCAAACAAGAAGCAUACAUGGAUGGAUUGAGAAAAUAAGGAUUCAUGAUAUCCUACGUGACUGGUGCAUAGAAGAAGCAACCGAAGAUGGUUUCUUUGAUGUCAUUGAUGAAACUACUAGAGGACAAUUUGGAGCAUCGUCGUCUCAUAGCAGGAUAUCCUAUCGGUGUUCUUUUCAAGACUCAAGUGGGCAGAAGUUACAGGCAUCACCGAAUCUCAGAGCAUUGCUUUGCUUUGGACUUUCAUCAUCAGUAACUUUUCCUGAGCUAAGGUUCCUAAGAGUUCUUCAUGUCGAGAACUCGGAGCUAGAGAAUUUCUCCAAGGUAAUUGGUGGGUGCAUUCACCUACGACACCUCACGCUGAUUAGAUGUGGACAAGUGAUGGUUCCUUCUUCAAUCUGGAAACUCAUUUACCUGCAAACUAUAAGCUUAUCUGGCAAAGAUGUAUCAAGCUCCCUCUGGGAUAUAACUACUCUAAGAUAUGUAGAUCUUUCUAGUAUUUCUUUGCCAAGGAGUGUGCAAAUUCCACAAACCCUACGGGAGCUUCAUAUAUGGGCUACUGAUGAUGAAAUUAAAAAAGACCCGAUGCCGAUCCUGGAGAUGCUUCCUUGUCUUGUGGUGCUGGAGUUGCAAGAUUUUAGACCCGAAACAAUGUCCUUUGGUGCCCAAGGGUUCCCUCGUCUGCAAGAGUUACGACUUGAGAACUGUUCAUUUAACAAGUGGACGAUGGAGGUUGGAGCAAUGCCAAAGCUAUUCCAUCUGUCAUUUUCAUAUUGCGGUGUGGGGGGAGGAAUCCCCGAUGGAUUACUGCACCUUCCAUCCCUCAGGUUCGUAUCACUGGAUUCUGCAAAAGCUUAUCGGAAUGACAGCACGCUGGAUGGUCUGAGACACAAAGGAUGUGAGGUAACGCUGCCCCCCUCCUCCCUCAUGCCCCCCUUUAAAUUUCUGUUAUUCAAUUUUACUACUACUACCAGGGAUGACAACGCCCUGUCUUUUGCAGGUCAGAGGGCGUUUAGAUUAGUACAGUACUAG
rnacentral:rRNA from 1 species